GUAAUUUAAAGAAGCGUUUUCGGUGGCAGCCUGGGUAUAAAUCCUUUGGAAUAGGGUAUCAUAGAGGGUGAGAAUCCCGUCUUUGACCUAGUGCAUGCUACUAUGUGAUACGUUUUCAAAGAGUCGAGUUGUUUGGGAAUGCAGCUCAAAAUGGGUGGUAAAUUUCAUCUAAAGCUAAAUAUUGGCGAGAGACCGAUAGCGAACAAGUACCGUGAGGGAAAGAUGAAAAGAACUUUGAAAAGAGAGUUAAACAGUGCGUGAAAUUGUUGAAAGGGAAACGUUUGACACCAGUCAUGUGGGUGGAAAAUCAGUCUUUUGCAUUGGGGAGUUGUAAGGGUUCGGACCGCAAGGCCGGCUUUUGCUUCAUCUUUGGUGUAAGUGAUGCACUUUUUCAUCUACAGGUCAACAUCAGUUUCUUUUGCUGGACAAAACUCCGAGAGAAGGUAGCAGCUUAGGCUGUGUUAUAGCUCUGGAGCGAUACAGUGAAGGGGACUGAGGUUUUCGCAGCGUGUGCUCUCGGGCAAGGCUGGAUGGGUGCUAUGGGAUCGUUCGGGGUACAAUGCCUGGCAUUUUGCUUCGUGUCUUUUCUAUACUCGCUCAACUCAGCUCUUCCACGCUUAGGAUGUUGACUUAAUGGUUUUAAACGACCCGUCUUGAAACACGGACCAAGGAGUCUAACAUAUAUGCAAGUGUUUGGGUGGCAAACCCAUGCGCGUAAUGAAAGUGAACGUAGGUGCGAUCCGCAAGGUGCAGCAUCGACCGAUCUUGAUAUUUUUGGAUAGAUUUGAGUAAGAGCAUAUAUGCUGGGACCCGAAAGAUGGUGAACUAUGCCUGAAUAGGGUGAAGCCAGAGGAAACUCUGGUGGAGGCUCGUAGCGAUUCUGACGUGCAAAUCGAUCGUCAAAUUUGGGUAUAGGGGCGAAAGACUAAUCGA
rnacentral:rRNA from 1 species